GGAACAUCAACUUUGCUUACCUUUUGGCCCAGCAGUACACUGUUACGGACUUAUUUUAAGGCUAAAGUAGUCAAGUGCACAGAGUUAUGCAGACCUUCUAUAAUAACGAAAAAGGAGUACACAAUCUUGAACACAAGGAGGGUCUGGGGCAAGAUUUCAGAGCAAGCAGAGUGAAUGUGAAUACUAACUUCAACUAGGAGCAGAAGUCACACAUGGGAGACAAACCAGGGGUGAUGGGAACGCCACAGCUUGACACGCAGAAUCCAGUUGAGUGAAGUUACUUGGCCUUCCCUUGAUGUUGUCCAACUCUCGUGCUUGUGUUGACUGAACAGAGGCCCUGCCUGUGGUAGAAGAGCCAACAAUAAAAGCAGAAUCCCACCAAGUCCAAAUGAGCCCUGGUUUGAAGCUGGCUGCCUCCUGUGCUUACGAAAUGGGCUGUAAGAGAAGACAGAGCAAGAAAAGCAGCAUUUGGAGCUGGGCACGGUGGCUCACGCCUAUAAUCCCUGCAUUUUGGAGGGCCAAAGCUGGAGGACUGCUUGAGGCUGAAUGUUCGAGAACAGGCUGGGCAACAGAACGAGACACCAUCUCUACAAAAAAAUUUAAAAUUAGCUGGGCAUGAUAACAGGCCCUGUAGUCCUAGCUACUUGGGAGGCUGGGGCAGGAGGACUGCUUCAGCCCAAGAAUUUGAGGUUUCAGGGAGCUGUGAUUGCACCACUGCACUCUAGCCUGGGUGACAGUGUGAGACCCUGUCCCUCUCUCACCAAAAAAGGGGUUUGGCUUGGACAAUAGAUCAUAUUGUCACCCUAUUAAUAACUAACUUACUGAGUGCUUCAUAUGAGCCAAACACUGCAUCAGUUGUCCACAGCCUAUGCUAUACUGCCUUACCAAAGAGAGGAAGGUGUCAACUGUAUCCUUGGGGUAAACAAAAGUGGCAAUGUUUGUUGACCACGCAUAGGAACAAAAACAUUAAAACAAAUAGCUUUCCCAUUCUAUGAAGCUAGCACAGCAUUUUGGAAUGAUUCUAAAAAUAACACCAAAAAAUACAAAUGUUUGGUAAACAUAGUUAUCACCUGAAUUCUCUGAAUAUUUUGUCAUGAGCUUAAGUUGUAAGCAUGUAAUCUCAUAAACUUGCUAAGUAUUCUCUAACAUUUCACAAUCUCACUAGUCUAAUUUAAAUAACAUUACAUUAAAAGUUUGGUAUCAAAUUAUUACAGAGCUAAGUCACUGUGAUAAAAUACCUUUUUUACUUAUGACCAUUGAGAAAAUGUACUGUGGUGAGAAGCUGCAUAUAUAUUAACAGGUAAGACAAUCUCUGGUACAAGUCCUUGUUAUGGUGGUAAUUCAACUCAUCCUGAAGCAGA
rnacentral:lncRNA from 1 species